GCCAAAUGAUGUCAAAGGAGACUUCUUGAGCACCCUGUGCAAAGAUGACAUGGAUCUAUCACCCAAAACUGAUGGCU